UGUAUCUGAAGUCUGACGAGGAUGAGAACCUCCGGGGGCAAGAGGUUCGACUCGAGCGAAGCGAGAGAACGUUGCGUCAGCAACGGCCCGCAGGGCGAGCCACGCAGUGGCGAGUCAUCCUCUAUCACCGGCA
rnacentral:sRNA from 2 species